UACGGGGGGGGCAAGCGUUGUUCGGAAUUACUGGGCGUAAAGGGCUCGUAGGCGGCCAACUAAGUCAGACGUGAAAUCCCUCGGCUUAACCGGGGAACUGCGUCUGAUACUGGAUGGCUUGAGGUUGGGAGGGGAUGCGGAAUUCCAGGUGUAGCGGUGAAAUGCGUAGAUAUCUGGAGGAACACCGGUGGCGAAGGCGGCAUCCUGGACCAAUUCUGACGCUGAGGAGCGAAAGCCAGGGGAGCAAACGGG
rnacentral:rRNA from 1 species